CAAAAAAAAAACGGAAUAACGAGUAGUCGUUAGCUUAGUUUAUGCCAAAUUGUCGCCAAAUAUGCUCAACCAAAUCAGCUUUCAGUUGUUCAUGCUUAGUCCGAUCACGUAUUUCGGAUCGAGUGGCCAUCAUAUUACCGAGAUUUGAAGGCAUUUCUGUAGAGUAGGUGAAAUCCACUUGUGAAGAUGUGGUUGAUUCCGGGUGUUCGAAUUCGGUGACAUCAAACUGAGUGUACCCAUCUCGUUCAUCAUCUACUAUCACAUUAUGAAGAAUUAUACAUGCUCGCAUAAUCUUUGCUAUUUUUACCUUAUCCCAAAUAAGAGCCGGAUUUUUGAUAAUGGCAAAUCGAGCUUGC
rnacentral:lncRNA from 1 species